UACGGGAGGCAGCAGUGGGGAAUAUUGCACAAUGGGCGAAAGCCUGAUGCAGCUAUGCCGCGUGUAUGAAGAAGGCCUUAGGGUUGUAAAGUACUUUCAUCGGGGAGGAAAAACAAAACUAAUAAUUUUAUUUCUUGACGUUACCCGAAAAAGAAGCACCGGCUAACUCCGUGCCAGCAGCCGCGGUAAUACGGAGGGUGCUAGCGUUAAUCAGAAUUACUGGGCGUAAAGAGCACGUAGGUGGUUUUUUUAAGUCAGAUGUGAAAUCCCUGGGCUUAACCUAGGAACUGCAUUUUGAAACUGAAAUACUAGAGUAUCGUAGAGGGAGGUAGAAUUCUAGGUGUAGCGGUGAAAUGCGUAGAUAUCUGGAGGAAUACCUGUGGCGAAAGCGGCCUCCUAAACGAAUACUGACACUGAGGUCGAAAGCGUGGGGAGCAAACAGGGAUUAGAUACC
rnacentral:rRNA from 1 species